CGCACCUUGCACUCCUUGGUAUUCCGAGGAGUACGUCUGUUUGAGUGUCAUGGAAUUCUCAACCUUCUACUUUACUGUUGAAGGCUUGGACUUGGGGGUUGUGCCGGCUCUUGUAGUCAGCUCCUCUGAAAUGCAUUAGCGUGAGUGUUACGGAUCGCUUCAGUGUGAUAAUUAUCUGCGCUGUUGUGUUGAAGUAUAAUAAGCUUGUGCUUAUAAUCGUCCUCACGGACAUUAUCUUGACAAUCUGACCUCAAAUCAGACGGGACUACCCGCUGAACUUAA
rnacentral:misc_RNA from 1 species